rnacentral:snRNA from 1 species
AUACUUACUUGGCAAGGGAGAUACCAUGAUCAUGAAGGUGGUUUUCCCAGGACGAGGCUUAUCCAUUGCACUUCGGAUGUGAUGACACCUGGGAUUUCCCCAAAUGCGGGAAACUCGACUGCAUAAUUUGUGGUAGUGGGGGACUGCAUUCCCGCU